rnacentral:rRNA from 1 species
AUUGAACGCUGGCGGCAGGCCUAACACAUGCAAGUCGAACGAGGGGCGGACGGGAGAGUAAUGUCUGUGAACCUGCCUGAUGGAGGGGGAUAACUACUGGAAACGGUAGCUAAUACCGCAUACCAUCGGAUGUGCCCAGAUGGGAUUAGCUAGUAGGUGGGGUAAAGGCUCACAUGGGCGACGAUCCCUAGCUGGUCCGAGAGGAUGACCAGCCACACUGGAACUGGGACACGGUCCAGACUCCUACGGAGGGCAGAAGUGGGGAAUAUUGCACAAGGGGCGCAAGCCUGAUGCAGCCAUGCCGCGUGUAUGAAGAAGGCCUUCGGGUUGUAAAGUACUUUCAGCGGGGAGGCGUUACCCGCAGAGGAAGCACCGGCUAACUCCGUGCCAGCCGCCGCGGUAAUUC